rnacentral:misc_RNA from 1 species
CCACAUUCCAAACUUAAAUGCCAAAUCAACGAGUAACUUGAAUGGCCUGUUAGUCUAGUAGUCCCCCAAAUAUUGUGGCCCAAAAAUGAAAGAAUGUAGAGCUUUUCCCCUUAAUGAAAUCAAAAUGAACCAAUCUUCAUUCAUCAUUGACUCAUAGUCAAAGCUUUCUAUUGUUAGCCAGGCUAGAUGAAGAUGAUGAUGCUUUCAAUCUAAGAACAGUAUCAUCCUGAUCAGGACGGAAGAGAAGGUUACUCCAAUUUGUCGACCUUUGGACAAGCCUGGAAGGAACCCUGUCACUAUCUUCCC